ACCACUGGUUUAAAUACACUAAAAGCACCAGAUCCUAUCGGAUCAUGUAAGCCAAGUAGGCUCAUGUCUUGUUUGUGCUUGGAUGGGGGACCACAAAUGAAUGCCCGAAUCUGCGGGC
rnacentral:rRNA from 11 species